rnacentral:rRNA from 1 species
UACGUAGGGUGCGAGCGUUGUCCGGAAUUACUGGGCGUAAAGCGCGCGCAGGCGGUCUUCCAAGUCAGUGGUGAAAGCCCGGAGCUCAACUCCGGAAUUGCCAUUGAAACUGUUAGACUUGAGGAUGAGAGAGGUGAGUGGAAUUCCCAGUGUAGAGGUGAAAUUCGUAGAUAUUGGGAAGAACACCGGUGGCGAAGGCGGCUCACUGGCUCAUUACUGACGCUCAGGCGCGAUAGCGUGGGGAUCAAACAGG